GGCUCAGUGGUGUAGCGGAAACACUCCAGCCUGUAUUGGUUCGUUUCCAAUCAAAGGUAACUGGCGAUCCCCGUUCGACUCGGGGCUGGCUUG